AGAGUUUGAUCCUGGCUCAGGACGAACGCUGGCGGCGUGCCUAAUACAUGCAAGUCGAACGCACUGACGGAGAACUUGUUCUCUUGACGUGAGUGGCGCACGGGUGAGUAACACGUGGGAAACCUACCCUUCAGCGGGGGAUAACCAUCGGAAACGAUGACUAAUACCGCAUAGACGACAGAACCGCCUGGUUCAAUCGGGAAAGACGGCUUCGGCUGUCACUGAAGGAUGGUCCCGCGCUGCAUUAGCUAGUUGGUAAGGUAACGGCUUACCAAGGCGAUGAUGCAUAGCCGACCUGAGAGGGUGAUCGGCCACAUUGGGACUGAGACACGGCCCAAACUCCUACGGGAGGCAGCAGUAGGGAAUCUUCCGCAAUGGACGCAAGUCUGACGGAGCAACGCCGCGUGUGUGAAGAAGGUUUUCGGAUCGUAAAGCACUGUUAUUAGAGAAGAACAGCCGAUAGAGUAACUGUUAUCGGUUUGACGGUAUCUAACCAGAAAGUGACGGCUAACUACGUGCCAGCAGCCGCGGUAAUACGUAGGUCACAAGCGUUGUCCGGAUUUAUUGGGCGUAAAGGGAGCGCAGGCGGUCCGUUAAGUCUGAUGUGAAAGCCCACGGCUCAACCGUGGAACGGCAUUGGAAACUGGCAAACUUGAGUAUAGAAGAGGAAAGUGGAAUUCCAUGUGUAGCGGUGAAAUGCGUAGAUAUAUGGAGGAACACCAGUGGCGAAAGCGACUUUCUGGUCUAUAACUGACGCUGAGCUCGAAAGCGUGGGGAGCGAACAGGAUUAGAUACCCUGGUAGUCCACGCCGUAAACGAUGAGUGUUAAGUGUUGGGGGGCUUCCACCC
rnacentral:rRNA from 1 species